rnacentral:lncRNA from 1 species
GGGGACUUUCAGUGGCCAUGAGGGAAUUCAAAAGUGGAUGGACUCUUGCUCUAAAUUGUCAUUUUGGCUCUCCCAGACUCCCGGCGGCCAAGGAGAAGGAAGAGACCCUGACUUCGUGUCCAGCGAGGCUUUAGAAGAGUCACCCACCAUCCACACAUUUGAAAGGAUUACGUGAAGUACAGAUCGGAUCCUGCCACGUUCACCUUCCCCUGGUGCAAACACAUGGACAUUAGCACAGCUGUUCUGCACAGACUGCUCUCCACAUCUGCAUUCCUCACUAAUGUCGUGUCACGGACGCUUUUCCAGAUCCGUGGAGAGAGAUCUGCCUCCUGGUCUGAAUAGCUGCACUGUGUCUGUGGUAUGAUUGUUUCCCUCUUUCCCUCUUGCUGGAUAGUUUGGGAGUUUCUAGUUUUCCCUACAAUGAGAAUCUUGUAUGAAUAAUGACAAAGGUUUGUCCUGUUAUUUCUGAUAACAUACAUUCUCUACAAGUAGAAUUAUUACCUCAAAGAUCCCAUUC